rnacentral:rRNA from 1 species
UUAGUUAAGAUCUUUAAACCCAAAGAAUUUGGCGGUAUCUUAAUCUGUUCAGAGGAACCUACCCCGUUAUUGAUAGUACACGAUUAACUUUACUUAAUUUAUUUGUUUGUAUAUCUCCGUUAUCAGAAAAUCUUUUUAGAGUUAUAAUUUUCUUAAUCUAUGAUUAUAAAAUAUUUCAGGUCAAGGUGCAGCUUAUGAUUAAGGGGGAGGUGGGUUACAAUAAAUUUUUGUUUAUAUGGAUUUUAUAAUGAAACAUUAUUAAUGAAGGUGGAUUUGAUGGUAAAUUAAUUUAUUUAAUUUAAUUGAUAUUAGCUCUGAGGUGUGUACACAU